GAUGAACGCUGGCGGCGUGCCUAAUACAUGCAAGUCGAGCGAACAGACGAGGAGCUUGCUCCUCUGACGUUAGCGGCGGACGGGUGAGUAACACGUGGAUAACCUACCUAUAAGACUGGGAUAACUUCGGGAAACCGGAGCUAAUACCGGAUAAUAUAUUGAACCGCAUGGUUCAAUAGUGAAAGACGGUUUUGCUGUCACUUAUAGAUGGAUCCGCGCCGCAUUAGCUAGUUGGUAAGGUAACGGCUUACCAAGGCAACGAUGCGUAGCCGACCUGAGAGGGUGAUCGGCCACACUGGAACUGAGACCCGGUCCAGACGCCUACGGGAGGCAGCAGUAGGGAAUCUUCCGGAAUGGGCGAAAGCCUGACGGAGCAACGCCGCGUGAGUGAUGAAGGUCUUCGGAUCGUAAAACUCUGUUAUUAGGGAAGAACAAAUGUGUAAGUAACUAUGCCCGUCUUGACGGUACCUAAUCAGAAAGCCCCGGCUAACUACGU
rnacentral:rRNA from 1 species